UGCCUUGUAAACUGCUAUAUGCCUAUGACAUAGUUUUUCAAUUUCGAACCUGGCUCUGAUUUUCUUUGCAGGAUGUGGAUGAGAAACUUUUGUAUGAUACUUUCAGUGCAUUUGGAGUCAUUGUUACAAAUCCCAAGGUUGUUGAUUCACUUAGUAGUUGUCCCACUAUUUGGCCAAUGUCACAUCAACAACAAUCUCAUGCAUUUUCAUCCCAAGAGGUUCACCUUUCAAAGAAAGGGUAGAAGAAGAAGAAGAA